AUAAAGUAUUUUUUAAAUUAAGGUCUGUACAUUUUUAAGGACACAAUGCCAUUGCACACUUAAUAGACUAUAGUAUAGGGUGAUCAUGACUUUUAUAUACACUGGGAAACCAAAAAAUUCAUGUGACUCAUUUUAUUGCAAUUUUUGUUUUGCUUUUCUUUUGUGGCAGUCUGGAACCAAACCCACGGUAUCUCUGAGGUCUGUCUGUACACAGAUGUGAUUUGUGAUAAUCGCACUGCAGAGGACGGGGAGGGAAAGGCACUGUAGGAGAACAAGGCCUUUGCGUGCUACAGAAAGUAAAUCGGUGUUCAUCUGAGCUAGCUUCUGAUGUGUUAAGAGGAACCAGAUAUCCUUUCAGGAACCAUGGAGGCAGCAAAGAACAAGCCGAGUCUCCCCCUCAUGGAGCUUUUGUUCUGUUGGGAAAAGAGCCUGUUUUCUGGAUCUAGCAUCAACCAGUGCCAUUAAGAACACCACGCUUCCAUGAUCAAAAGCAUAA